GGGUCACCAGGAGAAACACUGAUGCUGCAGUGGCAGAGCGAGAAGAAGCUGUGCUAGCUAGCACCUGUCAUGGCGUUAAGCCAUCCCAUGCCCACCAGAACAGGACUCGCUGGCGGUCUCUGACAAGAUCAGCAUGUAACAGGUUUGAGCGGGAUUGACAAAAUCAUCUACGGGCGGCAUGUGAAAGGCGCCUCAGAGCUGCAUCAUCAAACAUCAUAAAUACAGACUUCCCAUGCGCUGAGUGCGGCCGACUCUGUGCAUCAGGGUUCGGACUUCGGAGUCACAUGCGUAGCCAUAGAGAAGAACUGUGACAAUAUCAUCAUCAGCGAUGGUCUACCAACACCCACCAGAUUCAGCUUGAAGUGGAAGGGCCGAAGCAUUGUAAAGAAAGUCCGUACUUGUGGUAGUUCUAGCCCGACAAAGAGCAAGAAGCAUAAAUCUCCUGAGAAGAUGGCAAGGGAGAGAUUUCCACUCCACUUCUGGAGAAGCAAGACGUUUGGCUCAAGUUCAGGUUCCAGCAAAGGAUACUUGGCAGGAUUAGGCUGAUGAAGACCCCCUCCCCCAAUCACAGAGAGAUAACAGUACCUCAAAGAGAAGAAGCUGCCCAGACGACAGACAGAAGGUGUCCCAGGAGCAGAACCAUCUCUCAGCGACCUCUGCUGUCCCCUCCACCUCCUGAUACCUCUUCACACAGUGGGACCUCUGGCUCCCUCUCAGCAGGUAUUAUUGCUUGGCAACUCAGCCCACAACCCAUCAAUCGCAGCCAUGGCCACGAGGGAAGUCGAAGUCUGUGCUUAGUUUUAUAAGCUGGUCUGUCCAGGUGACGCCGUGUCAGGGUCUGGGUGCAGCCAUUAGCUGUGUCUGCUGUUAAAAGAAGAGCAAUUAUGUAAACAUGGCCUUUCUUUACUCAACACGUGGCACUGGCCCUGUGCAUUGCACUGAGGAAGGGAGGAAGGAUGGGCUUGUGGUUAAGGCGGAGAACUGGGUUCAAUUCCUGGCUCUGCCAUAGGUUUCCUGUGUGACCUUGGGCCAGUCACAUAUUCCAUAGGUGCCUCUGAUCCCCAUGGGUAAAGUGGGGAUAAUAUUCCCUUCCUCCCAGCCCUUGUCUAUUUGGACUGUAACCCGGAGUAUCUCACACUACGUGUGUGAGCAGUGCCCAGCGCAAUGGAGCCCUGAUCCUCACUGGGGUCUCUGGGCACUGCCGUAAGACAUGUAAUAAUCGGCUGACUUUACCGCUUGCUGCAAAAAGUUCCUAUGCUCGUUAGCCCUGUUGGACCAGCUGCAGCUGCAGGAAAGUGAGCUGGGGCCCCUUCAGCUUCCCUGAGCAAAUGGCCUGCUUGGUUCCUGCUGCAGAAUCUUUCCUAGCAGCCCUGGUGUCGGAGGCAGGAAGGGCCCAGCAGAAGUUGUGGACACGGAGGGAGGUUGGAGGGUUGUUUGCAGCAUCAACAGAAAAAUUGAGCCCAUUAGGUCUGGUAAGAUCAUUUGAGCAGAUACUGCACUUAUUUAUCUACCUCCCCACACACACACUCACCUCAUUGCCUCUGCUGGGGUGAGGGGGCUGGCCCAGUGGAAGAGAGUGGCAGGGAGUUCACAAUCCCCCUUUCACAGAAGUGCCUUACAGAGCGUAACUGUGCUAUAACAGAAUGGAAAUCCCUGCCCGGCGGGCACACAGGGGAUAUGCAGCAACAAUCCUAGGGUGUGAGCAGCUACAUGAGAGGCAAACCAAGACCCUCUGCCAUGAUUUCACGGCAGUGUCCUUCCAUGAGUCAAAUUCAGCAACUUGGUCCCCUCCUUCCUCCUGCCCUCUGCUGCACUAGGACAGACCAAGGAGCCAGUGCCACUAUGCUCAUGAAACACUCGGCUCUUCAUUAUUGGGGACAGAGGACAUUUACAGCAGCUUUGGCCAUCCAUGGGACAGUGGUACAGCAUGCGUUACUUCAGCACUCUCUCAUGGCGAGGACGCAUAGGGCAGCAGACCGCCUCUGGGACCAUGCCUGGGCCACGUGGCAGUGGGUUCCACCUUACUGUGCUGCGGUGUUUGCUCUGCAGACAUUUCCUCUCUCACGUUGUAUCUUAUGAAUCUGCUGCUCGCCCUACAGCAUUGCAGUCACUGUGCAGGAAUCACCUGGCUUAUCAUGUGAUCACCAGAUUUCCAAAAGGAUUCAGUGCGAUACAUAUGGGUAACCAGCCACUGGAUGGCGCUCUCAUCCCACACAAAAUGCCACCCAAAUGGCAUUUAUCUGGCCUGUAGAUGAAGCAGUGGGUAGCAUGGUGAUCCAGCCAGCUGUAACAGGGCUACAGUAUCCAGUAUGGCGAGACUAUACCAAACACAGUGAAAGAGACAACAAUUCUAUGGCUGCUGUACCAGGUAUGGUGAGGAUAUGAACACACAGUCAGUCAGGGCACCAGAGGGGGAACCAUUUCACAAGCUGGAUAAAUUCACUUCCCUGUUUACAAAGCCACCUGUUAGAAAGCAGUACACAGCUAAGAGCACGUGCCCCUUAACUGGCAGGCUGCAGCCGAGGGCUUAUCUACAUGCACAAGUUGCACUGGUUUAACUUCAAUCAGUUUAGUGAAACUUGUGAAACUUUUUUUCAUGGACUCUCUCAUAGAAGUUUAAAACUAGUUAUGCUGUUUUAGUUUGCACCUGCACAUUUACUGAAGCGCCAAACUGCUAUAAGCCAGGUUUACACUACGAGAGGAGUGUCCACACACAAAGCUGCACCAGUUUCACUAAACUGGUGCAAAAUAACACCUGUAGUUAAAUAAGCACAGAUUUGGACUGUCUUUUACCAGAUCCAACGUGCUGAGAACUGGGGAGAUUCAAUACACCACACACUUUCUGGCAGUUCAGCCCCAGGGGCUGCUGGCCUGGAGAGGCCUGGUUAGGAUUGGGUCAGAGUCCCCAUGCUGGGCCAGUUUGACAAGGCAGGGGAACUUGUUUGUUUGAAUCCACUCGGUAAUUACUGCCUCUUAGCAUCCGUUAAGUGCCAGUGCCCAGACCCCAGCCCUCCCCACACUGUAGUGAUGCGUUUGUGAAACACACGGUGUUUGCGGUUGACCAGAGCUCUGAAAUAAGUGAGGCCGGAAUUCAUGCACUGUUCUGUAUCCUGAUGUGGUAAGGAGCUCAGGCCUGCCUGAGGGAGGGCGGGGGGGAUAACGGAGGCUGCUGGUGCCAGCAGAGGCUGUGAGGCCACUGCCAAGAGCCUGUGCAGGGGCCCUCCGAGGCUCCAGCCAGCUCAACCUGGCACUAACGGAACUGUGAUAAAAAUGAAUCUGUCCAGGACACCGGAGGGGGGGGAGAUUAAUGUCUGAAUUGUCAACAAGCAAGCGAACAAAUGUCACAGGAGGAAACGAAGGGCUGACGAGAAUCAAACAGAUCUUAGGGGUGAGAUGCUGCUUCCCCCACCGCGUGCUGAGCUGUACGGCCCUGCUGCUCCUUUGCCGCUGCAGCAUUGCCCAGCCAUGAGAGGAGUGGGAGGGAAGCCCACACUGUCCCCUAGGGUAGCCUUGUGGUGCACAUUUCAACCUGCCUCCUGAUGUUUAGCUGGCAGAUCAUAAAGGCACCUCCUGGAUCCCCAGGGUAGGGGGAUGGCCUGGCUCGUCAAUAACUCUGUCCAAGUGCUAAUGUUAGAAACAUUGAUUACCUGGCAUGGUGUUGUGAUCUCCCUGUGGGGGAAUCCCUGCUGACACUUCGCAAUCCAAAUACAAAGUAGCCAGGUGUUCCCCUGGUCAGUCACCCUGCUGCAUCCCAUUCCAGAGCUGGCUGCAUUUCAGUGGUGGGUGGAAUGUUUUCCUCUUGAAAGCAGUGGGAGUUCCAGCCAUGUACCCGAGGAUCCUAGUUUGUAAUAAAGCACUUCACACUUUCAGGUGCUAUAGAAAUGGUAAGUUAUUACUAUCAGUCCAUCCUGCAUCUUCCCCACCAGCAGACACCUGGAUAGAUGCGUGUUUAUCUCUUUGCCCAGUUGGCUUCCAAAAACACUAUUUUAAAAGCAUCCACUAAAAUUUCCCCUGUUUCUUUGUCCGUUGCCUCUAGGGUUCUGGAAUGGACCCCACAGCAACUGCUCAGUCUUCAGUUCUCAUUUCUUGACUGCAUAGUUUUCCUCCAGAGUUUUCUCCUUCCUUCCUUUUCAGUGAACUUCAGUCCAGUUGCAGCAGCAGCUCUGUCUCUUGCUUUCCCUCCUUAUCCUUGUCUCAUGUAGACAAAAGCAAGUAGAGGUUUGCACCACCAGAGCUAAUUGGGAUUUAGGGUUGAACCUUGAUUAACUCAAUCACUGCAAGCCCCAGCUUGCCCUUGUCUACUGCGUCUCAGAGCCCAGGUCAGUUGACUUGGGCUGCAAAGCUAAAGGUAGCAGUGUGGACAUUUGGGUUUGCACUGCAACCUGGGUUCCCAAACCCGCAGAGGGUCUCAUUCCCCAGGCUUCAGCCCAAGCCCGAACAUCUAUGCUGCUAUUUUUAGCCCCACUGCCUGAACCUGCGAGCCUGAGUCAAUCGACGCAGGCGCUGAGACUCAGUGCCGUGGGUUUUCUUUGCAGUGUAGAUGUAGACUUAGGGGUUAGCAUUGAAGCUAACCAGCCAGCAGCUACAUCGAUUGCUGUAUCAGGGCUAUUCCCAAGCAGAGACAAGGCCUUUAUAAACAAUGAGGCAAGCAGUUUAGUUAGCUUACUCUGGGGCCAGUGUGUGCAGUCCUUGCAGUUCAUAAAUUCUCCCUUGCCAUAUGUGUGACUCCAGUGUAUGUAUGGUAACCUGCCAUAUCUUCUCUAUGUCAAUCUCCUUCCCCAUUCUCCACCUUAGGCAGGGAUCUUUUCCACUCUUUGUGUUUCUCCCUUCAGUAUAUAGGACUCCUUUGUACCCCCUUAUCUGUCCCACAUUAGUAUGGUCUUAUUCAUGGCAUCUCGGUUUAAGAAUGCUAGGCCUUGAGCACCUGCUUAUUGAACUGUCUGCUUCCACUGUGUGACAUCUAUUCAUAUCACCCUGGGCUCCUGCCCCUUUAUUAUGCAUUUGGGGCAUUUCCAAUUCCCCCCCCUUUACUGGCCUCACUUUAGGCCUAGAUUACAGUGGCUCCUUCACACCUCUUCCCCUUCCAACCAUCCGUGCCCUCUCUGAGUUGCUCCCAACCACAUCAAGAACUGCUCCCUGUCUACUCUCUCCUGAAGGGAGGGGAUUCAAGGAUCUCUCUCCCCCCACACACUUAUUGGGGGAUGAAGUCAGCCUGUAUCUUGCCCACAAUGCCAUGGUUUAGUUUACCCCAUCAGGUUGCUGACGAGCCUUCCCAGCUUCUGCACAGGGUUUAGUAAUCUCACAAUCCUGUUCACUUUUCAGGAUCAUCUCUCUGUAAGAUGGUGGCAUCCCACCCCCUGUUCCUAACACAGCACACACUGGGUCUGCUCCCAGUUAAAGCCCUGCCUUGUUAAUUAAAACUACAGAACCUAAACCCCAGUAAGUUUCCUCCUCUGCUCUGCUGAUGGUAGGUUCCUCCUUGCAGCAGCACUCCCUUUGCCCCUGCACCUAGUGCACCUGUGGCCUAGCAGAGCGAGCACUGGACUGGGACCCAGGAAACAUAAGUUUAACUGGCCCUGCUGGGUGACCUUGAGCAAGUCACGUCUUGGCUUUGUGCCUCAGUUUCCCUACCUAUAAAAUGGGGACAAUGCUGUUGACUGCCUUUGUAAAGGGCUGUGAGAUCUAUGGAUAAAAAGUGUGCUAUAUAACAGCUAGGAAUUAUUGUUACUUCUCUCUGGCUACACUCAACUCUUUUUACACUUUUUUACACCCUCUCUCUCUGUGCUUCUGCCUCAUGUCUCUUCUGUCUGGUUCCAUGCACAUGAGACAGAUUGUGGCUGUAGUGCUGACCAGACUAAGGGUGAGCAAAGGCAGCAACCAUACCAUGAAAUGAUAAUAACGAAUAAUAAUAUUGGGGAGACACGGUAACCAGGCUUGUUUGGCUCCGGCCAGGGUCAGUUCUGACUCAGGCACGUCCCUGGGCCAGCUCAGUCACCCCUGGUGUAUCUAGUGCUUCUGUGAAUCAGGAACAACUAAGUCAGGAGCCCUCCUUUACCCGGUAAACUCCGCGGGGGGGCGGACUUGGCUCAUCAGCUCCAGUCUGUUCUUAACUCCAAAGACUGCCUUGGGGGGGCAUCUAGUGGUUGCUGUGUCUCACUGCGCUUAUCAGGGUGCAAAUGAAGGUGAAAUUGCAUAGCUGGAGCAAGAUGUCAUCACUGUGGUGACAGUGAAGGGGGAAUAAGUCUAUUGUUCAGAGGGCAGGGGAAGGUGUGUCCCUCAAUUGGAAUAAGUCUUUCAAUUUGGGGGAGUUCAAAGAACCAGCUUGCUGCCCUCCCUAAAACCCUAAGGCUAGCCUUCCCUGUGGCUCCUGCACCUGCAUGUUGUUGUUAUUGAUUUGUAUUCCAAUAGCUCCUAGAGCUGAGAUCAGGGCCCCAUAAUGCAGGAUACUGUACACACAUACACACACUGAGAGACAGCCCCUUCCUCAAAGUGCUAACAACCUAAAUAGACAAGACAAAGGGCAAGAGAAAGGAAAUAUUAUUAACCCGCUCUUUACAGUUGGGAAACCGAGGCCCAGAGAGAUUAAAUGACCUGCCCAAAGUCACAUAGGAAGUCAGUGGCAGAGCAGGGCACUGACCAGAGAGCUCCUGAGUCCCCGUUCUGUGCUUUGUCUACAAGACCACUGCCAUAGGCUCCUUUUAAUUUUGGUGCCAUCCUUGAGCUCCUGGCAAGUUCCUGGCAUUGGCUCCAGUUGGGUGCCCCACUAACACCCUUGGGAUCACAGCUGUCUCGCUAGAAGAAAAGGCUUCCAAUGCCAUUCAGAUAAUAAAGCUAGUGACUGCUGUCUGACCAGCCUGCUUAUCUACUGAUAGACAGCCCAAGGCACUGUGGCUGGUCACUUUUAUUCCUGUACUGUACAGUGUAUUGCUGAUUUGCAGUGUCUGUUGAAAAGUUUCAUGAACUCUAUUCUGGCUAUGCCAAUGUACGGUGAGAUUUUGUAUAGGCAGCAUCCAUAGAUGUGGCAGGGAAAAGGGGUGAAGGAGAUUAUUACACAUAUCCACUGGCACCUAGAUACUACGGCCAGUUGGUGGAAUAGCCUGUCUGCUUUUAAUAUUUCAUGCGAGACUCAAACCAGGGCCCUCGUGAGAUCUUCGAACUACAGACACCAGAGAUGGAAAAGACUUAAGGCCCCCUUGAGUUCUUCUCCCGUGGGCAGUGCAGGAAUGUUCCCUAGCGAAUGCUUUAAAGGGCAGUUGUAUGUUUAGGAAUCGCCAAGCACCUGCUUAGAUUCCUUAACAGAACGCUUAUAUUAAACAAGAAAAACAGCUGCUCCCAUGAGCACUGACUUAGCCCAUGUGCAUACAGGAUGCUGUAAACAUUUCUUAGCGGAUUGUACUAGUAUCCAUCACCUUAAUGUCUGAGUGCAAUAUAACAAUGGUGCAACACGCAUAGCUAACAAGUGACCUGUCCAGCCUAGGUUUCAGAGACCUAAUUACUCGGUUUCAAAGCACUAAAUACUGAAUCUGCAGUUAGGUUUAUAUGCAAUUAUGUAUGCACAGGGAGUCUAGCAUAUUCUAAGGGCAGAAUUGUAAAGAGUCACACAAGUAGGUGUUUUGAUGCAGGGAAGUUGUGUGUCAGUAUCUAUAGAAACCCAUAGGGGCCUGGCAUGUGUU